rnacentral:rRNA from 1 species
GAAUUUUGGACAAUUGGCCAAAGCUCGAUCCAGCAAUGCCGCGUGCCGGAUGAAGGCUUUCGGGUUGUCACAUUCUUUUGUACGGAACCAACAGCUUUGGGUUAAUAAACUUGAGCCAUUACGGUACCGCACGAAUAAGAACCGGCUCACUCAGUGCCAGCAGCUGCGGUAAUACGUAGGGUGCAAUCGUUACUCGUAAUUACUGGGCGUAAAUGGUGCGCAGGCGGUUUUGUAAGACAGAGGUGAAAGCCCCGGGCUCAACCUGGGAACUGCCUUUGUGACUGCAAGGCUAGAGUACGGCAGAGGGGGGUGGAAUUCCGCGUGUAGCAGUGAAAUGCGUAGAUAUGCGGAGGAACACCGAUGGCGAAGGCAACCCCCUGGGCCUGUACUGACGCUCAUGCACGAAAGCGUGGGGAGCAAACA